UACGGAGGAUGCGGGCGUUAUCCGGAUUUAUUGGGUUUAAAGGGUGCGUAGGCGGCUUUUUAAGUCAGCGGUGAAAUUUUGCAGCUUAACUGUAACAGUGCCGUUGAUACUGGGGAGCUAGGAUUUGGUUGCUGUGGGUGGAAUGUGUGGUGUAGCGGUGAAAUGCUUAGAGAUCACACAGAAUAUCGAUUGCGAAGGCAGCUCACAAAGCCAAGAUUGACGCUGAGGCACGAAAGUGUGGGGAUCAAACAGGAUUAGA
rnacentral:rRNA from 1 species